GACUCUCGGCAACGGAUAUCUCGGCUCUCGUAUCGAUGAAGAACGUAGCGAAAUGUGAUACUUGGUGUGAAUUGAAGAAUCCCAUGAACCAUCGAGUCUUUGAACGCAAGUUGCACCCCAAGCCUUCUGGCCGAGGGCACGUAUGCCUGGGUGUCA
rnacentral:rRNA from 1 species